UGUAUUAGGAGUAGUCGAUAUUUGAUUUUUACUCUAGAUAUAUAUGCUAGGAGUAAAAAGGUUCAUGAUGAACUUGGUAUGAUUUGGUUCAUGAACUUGAUGCAUGGUUCGUGACAUUUGGGUAUUAGUGUAUAGGAUUUGAAGAUGAUUUGGUUCAUGAGGUUAAGGUAUAGUUCAUGUGGUUCAUGAGGUUUGGAUGAGGUUUGGUAUGUGAGGUUUGGAUGAGGUUUGGUAUGUGGUUUAUGGUUUGGUUCAUGGGGUUUGGUAUGGUUCAUGGAUUUGGUGUAUGGUUUAUGGAUAUGGUUUAUGGAUAUGGUUUAUAGUUCAUGAACUUGGUUCAUUUGGUUCAUGAACUUGGU
rnacentral:lncRNA from 1 species